rnacentral:lncRNA from 1 species
UCGACUAUCGUCCCAUGUCUUCCUAUCCUACCACUGAACUAGCAAUAUGAUAAAGAAGAAAAAGGGAACUGGACUGAAAUUUUCACCUGUGCCACAGUCAAACUACAACCCGAGAUCAACCUUCAAAUCAUAGUACCUACCAAAAUCAAGCCUAACUAUCAUCAAAUCCAGCAACUGCAUGCCUUAAAAAUAGCUUAAUAAUGCUAAUACUAAUACAGAAACAUAAAUGAUCAUAAGACUUGGCAGUUUAUAGUUAAAAUGUAUAAGCAAAGAAUUUGAGAGCUAUUACCAUAAACUAACUUGAGACCAUUUGGGAGGGUUUUGAAUUCACUUUCAGGAAUUUUUGCUCCUCUCAGCUGCAGCCUGCUGCAGAUAAACAAAUCGUUGUAGAGCAGGACAACUCUCUCUAUGUGUUUUAUUCUUUUAUAAAUGAAAUCUAAGCACUAAUAAUUGCACAAAAAUAUAGAGAUAGAGAUAGAGAGGGGGUGAGAUCUGUAUACCCAAGAUUAUUUGCGGCUUGGUGAAAAUGGUCGUACCUAAGCGGAGGAAGCACUGACAUAGACGGACGGAGGGCGGACAGGGGGGAGGUGGAUGGAGGCGCAGCAGAUAAGAGGGAGGCGGCGCGGCGGACUGGAAUUCAGGGCGAGGCGGAUUGGAAUUCAAGCGCACAGAGGAGACGCUGAAGUAGGCAGACGGAGGCGGAUCGGGGAGAAGCGAAUGGCGGCGAGGCAGACAGGGAGAGGCGGGGCGGCGGACUGGGAUUCAGAGGUAGGGCGGAUGAUUUGAUAGGAGGCAGAGGUAGAUUAAGGGGCUGUGCAGACGGAGUCAGGCCGAGGGCGCGUCGGACCGGAAAGGAGGCUGCCGGAUGCGCGUCGGAGCGGGGAGGCGGCGCGGCGGACUGGAGGCUGGGG